rnacentral:lncRNA from 1 species
AAAGCUUGAUUUCAUGUAUUGAUAUUGUUGUUAACUCAAAAAUCAUUAAAGAAUGAAGAUAAACUUUGAAAUUAAACUUUUAUGCUUUCAUGUAUAGAUACAUGAGCAAACAUCGUACAAAAGCAUGUCAUAUUUUUUUGUGCUUCACGUGAAGUUAUGAGUUUUCAAUGAACCUUGACCCGACCACACUCAACGUCCAUCUGGCAAUGAUCGUAAACACAAUCAGAAAAACACAAUUGUUCGCAUAAUUAGUUUUAAUUGAAUAAUUGACUUGCACUGAUUAAUUGGAUCUCAGCAAUGUGAUGACAGUCAGAAACUCUUACCAAACCUUUAAAAUGUAGUGUCAUGUACUUUAGUCACCUAGCAACAUGGUAUAAGAUUCAUUUUAGUCACGUGGCACAAGAACUGUUUCUUUUUUUCUUAGAAGGGAUUUUACACAUGUUAAACUGUGUAAUUACUAGAAACAAUAGAUAGCUUGUAGAGCAAGGUAUCCUGCCAUACCAAGGAACUUUACCAUGCACUGGCUUUAGAUGAUUCUAGUCCUAGCUAAUAGUUAGUUACAAUUAGUUAUGAUUAUAUGAAGCUAUAUAUAGCUAUGUUGUAACAAACUCUUUUCAGUUGAAUGAAUCAAUAGAUUUUCUCUCAUUUUCUCUAUUUCUUCUUCCUCAAGCUUCUACAUUUUCUCUGAAUUCACCAUGAUUAUGGUGAAGUUUAUGAACACAAAAAUUGUCUGAUAGUAAAAAUAAUAACCAAGUACAUUGUUAGUCUGAACAUCAUAGGAGAAGAAACAUCAGCUCUCAUUAUCGGUUCCUCUCUUUCUCUUUAUUUAGGCACUAGCGGUUAGGAGUCAGCUCGGUUCACAAUUUUAUUUAUGUACAUGAUAGGGUGAGUGGCCAUUUUAUUUUUCCUUAUCUCCCCCUUCUUAUUUUUCUCAUGAUUACUUUUCUUUACCAACUUACUUCUAUCACUGUGAUAUUAAAAACACAUUGUUGGUGGUACUUCAUGACCUUAAAUAAAUUGGCCUCCUUUAGGCAUUUUCCUUCAUAAUACUGCUAUCUUUUAGAAUUGGUUUCCUUCCUCUAUUAUUAAAUUUUUGAUAGAAACAUGGCACACUUCACUUUCACCAAUAUUUUCAUUGUUUCUUUCGUAUGGGCCAAAUCAAGGAACC